rnacentral:rRNA from 1 species
GGGCCCGCACAAGCGGUGGAGCAUGUGCUUUAAUUCGAUGCAACGCGAAGAACCUUACCUGGGCUUGACAUGGGGGUGAAACUCUGUAGAGAUAUGGAGCCUUCCGCAAGGAACACCCCACACAGGUGCUGCAUGGUUGUCGUCAGCUCGUGUCGUGAGAUGUUAGGUUAAGUCCUGCAACGAGCGCAACCCUCGCCCUUAGUUGCCAUCAGGUGAUGCUGGGAACUCUAAGGGGACCGCCUGGUUUAACCAGGAGGAAGGUGGGGAUGACGUCAAAUCCUCAUGGCCCUUACGUCCAGGGCUAGACACGUGCUACAAUGGUAGAUACAGCGGGAUGCAAGCUGGUGACAGCAAGCCAAUCCCUUAAAAUCUAUCUCAGUCCGGAUUGAAGUCUGCAAUUCGACUUCAUGAAGCUGGAAUCGCUAGUAAUCGCGGAUCAGCAUGCCGCGGUGAAUACGUUCCCGGGCCUU